GAUGAACGCUAGCGGCAGGCCUAACACAUGCAAGUCGAGGGGCAUCGGGGAAAAGCUUGCUUUUCUGCCGGCGACCGGCGCACGGGUGCGCAACGCGUAUGGAACCUGCCCUUUACAGGG
rnacentral:rRNA from 1 species